rnacentral:lncRNA from 1 species
CCCAGUUCCCCUUGCUUCCAACCAGCUGGAAACUGAAGGGCCCUCCUCGUGUGAAGCAAAUGCUGGAAUGUGUGCUUCGCCUGCCUUUCAGUGGGCCUCUCUAAGGACCACAGUGGGCACGCCGUCAGGGCCCAUUUGGAAGAUGAGCGUCUGCUGCUCAGCCCCCAUGGAGCAGACAGACUGACAUCUGCAGGAAGCCGACAGCUUCGCCUCACCACCUUCCCUCCAUCGGUCACCAGCCCUAAUGGGAUAGUCUUGUACUCGGCUUGCUUUCUUCCCCUUUUCACUGAAGGGCCCUGCUACGUCCUGCAGACACAGCUCAUGAAGCCUCUCGGGGGUGGCCGUGGAUGUCCUCUUCUAGGGGCACUGUCUCAUCAGCCUUUGCUGGCUCGACCGUGUUCCUGAGAUACCCCGCGGCCCAGAAGGCUCCAGUGCGACCAACACUCCCCGAGCCUCAGCUGCAAUGCCGAGUGCCGUCUGCUGUGUUUCCUGUGCCCCCUCGAACAGAUUUCCAGAGGACCUGCUCUGGGCCUUCCUAAGAGCCAUCCAAACUAAUGAUCUGAAAGGUGAGAAGGCACAGUGGUUUAAAGAAUGGUCACCACCAACUUGAAGGAGGGGGAAAAUUACACUUGUUCUCAAGGAGGUUCAUUAAUGGCUCCGACACGGUGGUGACUUCACACUCCCGCAAGAAGAUCAAUGUGCAGCCGUGGCGGUGACUUCGGACUUUCAGGAAAAAUCUCCCUGGCCCAAGGAGGAUUGGGGGGUGGGGAUAGCUUCGGCCCCAGCCCCCUGCACCCCCCUACGUGGCAAAGGACUGAUCUUUAAUUGGCUUCCAGGGUAUGGACGCCAGGCUCUCGCCUGAGCCGGAGCUCCUGCUGCUGCUGCAGGAGAGCGAGGGAGAACCCCCUCCCUCUGCUCAUCAGCAGCUCUUCAACCCUGUGAUGCUAGGAGGCUCCAGGCAGAGCUCUUACCUAACCCCCUUAGAGCUCCAACUCUGCAAAAAGCCUUGGGAAAGCAGCAAGAGCGUGUGUCUGUUUCUGAAAAUCUCACAAUAGUGUGAGCUGCUGUUCUCCUAACAUCUGGCUCUUUUAAAUCUACAAGUUGAAAUCUCAGGGGCUCGACUUUUUAAGUAAGUAUAAAUGCAAAUCCUGUUUUAUAUAUAUAUAUAUAUAUAUAUAUAUAUAUAUAUGAAAUAUACAUGAACAUAUAUCAACACAUCUGUGCGUGCCAUUCGGAUUAUUACUGCCAAUAUUCGUGUCCCGGGAAUUCAGACCUCAAACUACCAAUUUGUGCACAAUUUCACCCUCCCCGAUGGGCCCUGGGUGCUAUCCUGCCGAGUCUGGGUU